rfam:Tortispora caseinolytica NRRL Y-17796 unplaced genomic scaffold CANCAscaffold_2, whole genome shotgun sequence.
GGUGCUGUGUCGCAAUGGUUAGCGAGUUGGAUUUCGGUUCCAAAGGUUGCAGGUUCGAAUCCUGUCAGCAUCG